rnacentral:lncRNA from 1 species
GCCAACUGGAACAGCUGUGGUGGGAUGCAACAGCCUCCAUGAGGAUGAAGCUGCGGAGAGAGAGAUGAGGGUGAUCAUAUGUAGAAGCUAGGAGUCUAAUCACUAACUAAAACUACCAAACCCAGCAGAACAGUAAUGCAUCACACAUCUUUACAAUAUUUGUGCAAAGCCACUGACAUGGCCCCAGAUGUUAUACUGAACAUAUUUACAUGCAGACAUUUACAUACUGCAAGUUUUUCUUCUUGGUAAUACAUUACAGUCAUAAUAUUUAAGUUCAAAGGCCCAUGAUGAUCUUUAUAAAUGACCAUUUUGGUUUGCACUUUUUUUUAGAGACGCUGGUGUCCACCAGAAAUUAGCUGAGUUUUGCCCUUAACGUCGUGACCGUGGUUGUUAAACAGGGAGAAGACGCUAUCUUGCCCUGCUCCAUCAGCAGCAAGGAGAACAUUGUACGAGGACUUUUUUUACUUCUGCUUUUUAGAACGUCUUUUCAAAGAUCGGUCACAAGAACGCUUAGGUGCUCCACAAAACCCUACUGUCGCGAUAGCUGACGUGACAGAGGCAGGCGUUCUGCUGCAGUGUGUGGUUCAGUGUGCGUUUCCAGAGCCGACGCUGCAGUGGAAGGAUUGUGGAGGAAACCUCCUUCCUGCUGAGGAGCCACAGGUCUCAAAGAGAAGAGGCCACUAUGACGUCAUCCUCCAAACGACUGUGACCAGGACGACGAGCAACUGUUUCUGCUGUGAAGUCAAACAGGAUGAGAUCGGCCACGUUGUUAAUAAAAACAUCACCGAAAUGUUAGUUCCCUUUGUAAAUCUUAAAUAAAGCAGACACAGAUCAGUUGAGACUCUCUUCAGGAUUUUACUUGCAAGGGGUGAGCAGUUUACAGCAAAGGCAACUUCCUCUAACUAAAGAGAAGACAAGGAUUCAGCUCUUAAUAUGUAUUGCAUUCUGGGAGGUGCAUAGUCAGAGUACGUGGGAAAUAUUUCCUGCACAAAGUAUUCAUUGGGCUCAUCAGAUAAGGAUGCUACACACCAGUACUCCCUAUUUCUUGCAGAGCAGAAAGUAGGAAACUUCAAAGCUAUAGCACAGCUAACAAAUUUACAGCAGAUCAGCAAAAUAAACUCCAACAAUGUUUCA